GCCUAAUAGCUCAGUUGGUAGAGUAGAGGAUUGAAAAUCCUCAUGCCACUUGUUCAAAUCUGGUUCCUGGCA
rnacentral:tRNA from 1 species